rnacentral:tRNA from 1 species
GGGGGUACAGCUCAAGUGGUAGAGCACAUGCCUGGUAUGCACGAGGUCCUGGGUUCAACUCCAGGACCGCCU